rnacentral:lncRNA from 1 species
UGCUCGCGUGUAGGAGACCCGGUAUGCCUCGAGGGUAUUUUUGUCCUUUUUGUCCAAAAAACCCACGUGUCGCCUUGUGAAUAUUUUUGGCUCCACAAUUGAGUGUUGAAGUGUUAAACCACUUAAUGAGACGAAAACUAAGCUAGGACUUCACCUUUAUGUCCCUAUCCUAAUGGUUCACUAAGUUUAUUGUAAACUAUGUAGUGAACAAUAAACACAUACUCUCCAAAAUCGUUUGAUGUGUAUAACACAAUUGAAAUAAGUUUCAAGAGAGAUAGUGGGAGUUUAGGGACCAUGACUAUUGUAGUCAAAGGAGAAGUCAAAUGAAGAAGAUAAAAUUAACUCUAAGGGAACAAACUUUCUUUAUGAAAGGAUGGACAUUGGAAGGGGUAUUUGCAAGAAAUGUCUU